CUGGAUAUGACGAACAAGUACUGUUUGAUGUCAAACUGAUUUCUGUUGUAUUCAUACUGUCUGAUCCUG